CGGAAUCUGUGUGUGACUCAGCCAUCACAAAGUUGUCCGAGAAAUGGAAAGCACAUGGGCAAUGUAAGCCAGGCUGAUAUGUGUUGGGGAAGGAGUUCAUCAUGGCUUGUUCCCUCCAGACUCUCUUACUGGUUCAGCUCGUCUUCUGCACCUCAGUCUGUCUCUCCAAAUUCCUGAGCUGCAUGACUGUGAUUUUUGUCCAAUGAUGACUUCCAAUCUCAAUAAGGCUUUUUUUUUUAUGGAAUACUUAAUGGGUAGAUCAUGUACCUC